rnacentral:lncRNA from 1 species
UAUUUGUGCUUUCGGGAGUCCUGAAGCCACGAGCUACCAGGUCGCGCCUUUGCAGGAGGCCGCCAUUACUUGGCACCUGGAGGCUAUAGUUAAUAUAAGCACAGCUGAGCCAGUCCUUCUGUCACUGCUGGCAGUGGCCUAGAGGAUGCCUAGAAAAUAGCAAGCACGUGGUGAUUGCUGCCUGGGAGGAUCUCCUUGUUCUAGAGGCGUGAGGUACUCAGAGUUCCUGAACAACGUGCAGUGACCCAAGUGUGUCACAGGAAACCCUGCGAGAAUGUUCUACUACAGACAAGUAAAGACUGCAAUCUUGAACAUCCACUUUGAAAGCACCCCAGAAGCAUACCUGCUUAAUGAAGCCAGGAUCUGCAUUACUACCCCCAGGAAGAUCUAAAUCUUCAGAAUUUAGAAGAAAAACUCUAUUCUGUGCAGCAUGAUAAACCUGUCGGGAAACUGAAGACAAAGUCCUGCCUGACCUAAAGCUGUGGAAAGCCUUCAACUCACAAGAGAAGAAUUUCCUGCGGGAAUUAACGGACCGAGAAGGAGACAAAGAGGAGAAAAGUGCAGAAUGAGAACUGCGCUCAUAACAUACAGGAAGACUCAAAGCUUUUCAAGAUGCUAAAAAUUCAACACAACGCUUGAGAGUUAAGGUCCUGAAACUGGUGUUUAAAAGUAGUUUGCAGUCUUGUUUCCACAAAACAACUGCUACAAAAUGGAUGAAAUAAAAUAAGCUACAUCCACAUGCUUUCAGGGAGUAGGCAAUGAUGUUUGGAGCAUGCUGGCAGCUGCUGUGAGUCAACUCUGAGGUGCACAGCUCUCUCCACCCAGUGAGAGGAAGCCCAGAUUGGACCAGCAAAGUGGUGUGAACCUUCCUGUUUGUGUCAAACUGUACUGUCAGUGCAUAUAUUGACUUCACCGAAGUAGUUUGGGCUUUCCACCACUGAUGAGACCUUGGUGUCCUAUGAGUUU